AUUGAACGCUGGCGGCAUGCCUUACACAUGCAAGUCGAACGGCAGCACGGGAGCAAUCCUGGUGGCGAGUGGCGAACGGGUGAGUAAUAUAUCGGAACGUGCCCAGUCGUGGGGGAUAACGUAGCGAAAGCUACGCUAAUACCGCAUACGAUCUAUGGAUGAAAGCGGGGGAUCGCAAGACCUCGCGCGAUUGGAGCGGCCGAUAUCAGAUUAGGUAGGUGGUGAGGUAAAGGCUCACCAAGACCACGAUCUGUAGCUGGUCUGAGAGGACGACCGGCCACGAUGGGACUGAGACACGGCCCAGAGUCCUGCGGGAGGCAGCAGUGGGGAAUUGUGGACAAUGGGCGCAAGCCUGAUCCAGCAAUGCCGCGUGCAGGAUGAAGGCCUUCGGGUUGUAAACUGCUUUUGUACGGAACGAAACGGCGAGCUCUAAUACAGUUUGCUAAUGACGGUACCGUAAGAAUAAGCACCGGCUAACUACGUGCCAGCAGCCGCGGUAA
rnacentral:rRNA from 1 species